rnacentral:rRNA from 1 species
UGGGGAAUAUUGCACAAUGGGCGCAAGCCUGAUGCAGCGACGCCGCGUGGGGGAUGACGGCCUUCGGGUUGUAAACCUCUUUCACCAUCGGCGAAGCCCAUGAUUUUUGUUGUGGGUGACGGUAGGUGGAGAAGAAGCACCGGCCAACUACGUGCCAGCAGCCGCGGUAAUACGUAGGGUGCGAGCGUUGUCCGGAAUUACUGGGCGUAAAGAGCUCGUAGGUGGUUUGUCGCGUUGUCCGUGAAAUUCCCUGGCUUAACUGGGGCGUGCGGGCGAUACGGGCAGACUGGAGUACUGCAGGGGAGACUGGGAAUUCCUGGUGUAGCGGUGGAAUGCGCAGAUAUCAGGAGGAACACCGGUGGCGAAGGCGGGUCUCUGGGCAGUAACUGACGCUGAGGAGCGAAAGCGUGGGGAGCGAACAGGAUUAGAUACCCUGGUAGUCCACGCCGUAAACGGUGGGUACUAGGUGUGGGUUUCCUUCCUU